GAGGUAACGGCCCACCAAGGCGACGAUCAGUAGCCGACCUGAGAGGGUGACCGGCCACAUUGGGACUGAGACACGGCCCAAACUCCUACGGGAGGCAGCAUG
rnacentral:rRNA from 1 species